rnacentral:rRNA from 1 species
GGGGCAAGAGAGAAGGCCCGCAGGCGGGCAUGAAUCGGGUACCGGCCUUUAAAAUUCCAUUGGAGGGCAAGUCUGGUGCCAGCCAGCCGCGGGUAAUUCCAGCUCCAAUAGCGUAUAUUUAAGUUGUUGCAGUUAAAAAGCUCGUAGUUGGAUUUCGGGUGGGUCCUACCGGUCCGCUAUGGUAGAGUACUGUUAGGGCCUUCCUUUCUGCCGGUGACGGGUUUCUGGGCUUAAUUGUCCGGGACUCGCGCGUCGGCGUGGUUACUUUCGAGUGAAAUUAGAGUUCUGCAUUUCACCUUGGAACCAUUUUUCCGCUGCGUCUUUUCGGCUUAACCAAGUUUAGCAUGGAAUAACACGAUAGGACUCUGGCCUAUCUUGUUGGGUCUGUAGGACCGGUCCCAAAAUUCACAAAUUUUGGGUUUAAUUCGGUGGUACCACCUUGGUGUAUAAUGUGGCCCAAGGUCCCCCUGGGCCAAGACCCAUUGUCCCCCGCCUUUUCGGGGGCAUUCGUAUUUCAUUGUCAGAGGUGAAAUUUCUUGGAUUUAUAGAAAGACGAACUACUGCGAAAGCAUUUUGCCAAGGAUGUUUCAAACCAUAAACGAUGCCGACUAGGGAUUGGCGAAUGUUUUU